GACGAACGCUGGCGGCGUGCUUAACACAUGCAAGUCGAACGGAAAGGCCCUGCUUUUGUGGGGUGCUCGAGUGGCGAACGGGUGAGUAACACGUGAGUAACCUGCCCUGGACUUUGGGAUAACUUCAGGAAACUGGGGCUAAUACCGGAUAGGAGCUCCUGCUGCAGGGUGGGGGUUGGAAAGUUUCGGCGGUUGGGGAUUGACUCGCGGCUUAUCAGCUGGUUGGUGGGGUAGUGGCUUACCAAGGCUUUGACGGGUAGCCGGCCUGGGAGGGUGACCGGCCACAUUGGGACUGAGAUACGGCCCAGACUCCUACGGGAGGCAGCAGUGGGGAAUAUUGCACAAUGGGCGGAAGCCUGAUGCAGCAACGCCGCGUGCGGGAUGACGGCCUUCGGGUUGUAAACCGCUUUCGCCUGUGACGAAGCGUGAGUGACGGUAAUGGGUAAAGAAGCACCGGCUAACUACGUG
rnacentral:rRNA from 1 species